rnacentral:misc_RNA from 1 species
GAAAGAAUCUAUUUACAGUGAAAGACAGACCACAAAGCCAUUGUCCCGAUGGCAUUAUCAGGAAGCAAUCAAGCAAACCCUAUAAUUGCUCGCCACGUGUCAAAUUCUUAUUUAGACUCCUAGAUUUCAUUGGAUGAGAUAUAGAUCCCACAUCAUAUCCUCAACUUUUAGCUCCUCUGCUCACUUGAUAAGCGUAUUCAUCUUUCUUCUUCUUCCAGUUCCACCACCACCAGCGGACCCGAGAAAAAUGGCAGCAGAGAUGGCCCUUGUGAAAGCAAUCUCCGCCCCUAAAUUUGGCAGCCCAAGAAGAACAUUUUCUUACUCCAAAUUCACCAGCAUUAAAAUUUCUGCCACUGCGCAGACUACCAGUAUCCCAAAGCCAAAGCCAAGCAAGAAAGCUAACAAAACUGAAAUCAAAGAGACCCUCUUGACACCAAGAUUCUACACCACUGAUUUUGAUGAGAUGGAGAUCCUUUUCAAUACUGAGAUCAACAAAAAACUUAACCAGUCUGAGUUUGAGGCGCUUCUGCAAGAAUUCAAGACGGACUACAACCAGACCCACUUUGUCAGGAACAAGGAGUUCAAGGAAGCUGCUGAUAAGAUGGAAGGCCCUUCGAGGAAUAUCUUUGUUGAGUUCUUGGAGAGGUCAUGCACUGCAGAGUUCUCUGGCUUCCUUCUCUACAAAGAGCUUGGGAGGAGGCUCAAAAAAACCAAUCCAGUGGUGGCAGAGAUUUUCUCUCUAAUGUCCAGGGAUGAAGCCAGGCAUGCUGGGUUUUUGAACAAGGGUUUGUCUGAUUUCAAUCUGGCAUUGGACUUGGGAUUCUUGACUAAGGCUAGGAAGUACACUUUUUUCAAGCCAAAGUUCAUUUUCUAUGCUACAUAUUUGUCUGAGAAAAUUGGAUACUGGAGAUAUAUUACUAUUUACAGACAUCUCAAGGCCAAUCCUGAGUACCAGUGCUAUCCCAUUUUCAAGUACUUUGAGAAUUGGUGCCAAGAUGAGAACAGGCAUGGCGAUUUCUUCUCUGCAUUGCUGAAGGCGCAGCCCCAAUUUCUCAAUGAUUGGAAAGCUAAGUUGUGGUCUCGAUUCUUCUGCUUAUCGGUCUAUGUGACAAUGUACCUCAAUGAUUGCCAGCGAACAGCUUUCUAUGAAGGCAUUGGAUUGGACACCAAAGAAUUUGACAUGCAUGUUAUUUUUGAGGUGAGACUGACUCUCUGUACAUCAAGUAUAUAUUUAUACUAUUUACUUUGCCUUUUCAAGCUCAAUUAGUGGUGAUGUGUGACACAAUUAUCUGUUAUUAUUUCUUAUAUCUUUCCGAUACAAGUUUUUAAGUUUGAAAAGGUUAGUAUUGGCGUCGUUCCUCAACUUAAUUUGUAUAAUCUGCCAACGUCAACUUGUGAAGGAGCUAAUAGGAUGUUCAGCAGUGGUCAAAUCAUUAGAUUUAUAGAAGUGUAUGAAGAUUAUUAUGUGAAUUUUUUUUUAUGCAGACAAACCGUACGACUGCAAGAAUUUUCCCAGCUGUGCUGGAUGUUGAGAACCCGGAAUUCAAGAGGAAGUUGGACCGUAUGGUGGAAAUUAACCAGAAGUUGCUUGCUGUUGGGGAAAGCCAAGACAUUUCAUUGGUGAAGAACUUGAAGAGGAUUCCACUUGUUGCAGCAUUGGUUUCUGAACUCUUGGCUGCAUAUCUGAUGCCGCCAAUUGAAUCUGGAUCUGUAGAUUUUUCAGAGUUUGAACCACAACUACUUUACUGAUAA